rnacentral:rRNA from 1 species
GACGAAGGAUGCAAGCGUUAUCCGGAUUCAUUGGGUUUAAAGGGUGCGUAGGCGGGCAGGUAAGUCCGUGGUGAAAUCUCUGAGCUUAACUCAGAAACUGCCAUGGAUACUAUUUGUCUUGAAUAUUGUGGAGGUAAGCGGAAUAUGUCAUGUAGCGGUGAAAUGCUUAGAUAUGAUAUAGAACACCAAUUGCGAAGGCAGCUUACUACACAGUUAUUGACGCUGAGGCACGAAAGCGUGGGAUCAAACAGG